rnacentral:rRNA from 1 species
AGGACGAACGCUAGCGGCGUGUUUGAAACAUGCAAGUCGAACGGGAAGAGCAAUCUUUUAGUGGCGAACGGGUGCGUAACACGUAAAGAACCUAUCCAACAGCGGGGGAUAGCCUCUGGAAACGGGGGGUAAUACCGCAUACGGUAUAGAGCAGGCAUCUGCUUUAUAGGAAAGGGAUACGAAAGUAUUUCACUGAUGGAGGGCUUUGCGGCCUAUCAGGUAGUUGGUGGGGUAACGGCCUACCAAGCCAAAGACGGGUAGCUGGUCUGAGAGGACGAUCAGCCACACUGGGACUGAGAUACGGCCCAGACUCCUACGGGGGGCAGCAGUUUAGAAUAUUGUGCAAUGGGCGAAAGCCUGACACAGCGACGCCGCGUGGGUGAUGAAGGCCUUAGGGUCGUAAAGCCCUGUUGGUAGGGAAGAGCAAGGACGGUACCUACCGAGGAAGCCCCGGCUAACUACGUGCCAGCAGCCGC